AGAGUUUGAUCCUGGCUCAGAACGAACGCUGGCGGCAUGGUUUAGGCAUGCAAGUCGAACGGUCCUGAACAUCACUCGAAACAGCCUGCUGUAUCGGGCGUUCAGAAUAGUGGCGAAAGGGUGAGUAACACGCAAGUAACCUGCCCUUAAGUGGGGGAUAACCCCGGGAAACCGGGGCUAAUACCGCAUGUGGUGACAGGACUGAUGUCUUGUCUCUAAAGCCUUCGGGCGCUUGAGGAGGGGCUUGCGUCCGAUUAGCUAGUUGGUAGGGUAACGGCUUACCAAGGCAGUGAUCGGUAGCUGGUUUGAGAGGACGGUCAGCCACACUGGGACUGAGACACGGCCCAGACUCCUACGGGAGGCAGCAGCAAGGAAUUUUGUGCAAUGGGCGAAAGCCUGACACAGCGACGCCGCAUGGGGGAUGAAGGCUUUCGGGUUGUAAACCCCUUUUCUCAGGGAAGAGUAAUGACGGUACCUGAGGAAUAAGUCUCGGCUAACUACGUGCCAGCAGCCGCGGUAAU
rnacentral:rRNA from 1 species